rnacentral:other from 1 species
GUGCCCUGCCGCAUAGGCAGCCAAGAAA